GUAGUGGCAAGCGUUGUCCGGAAUUAUUGGGCGUAAAGCGCGCGCAGGUGGUUCUUUAAGUCUGAUGUGAAACGCCCCCGGCUCAACCGGGGAGGGUCAUUGGAAACUGGGGAACUUGAGUGCAGGAGAGGAAAGUGGAAUUCCACGUGUAGCGGUGAAAUGCGUAGAUAUGUGGAGGAACACCAGUGGCGAAGGCGACUUUCUGGCCUGUAACUGACACUGAGGCGCGAAAGCGUGGGGAGCAAACAGGAUUAGAUACCCUGGUAGUCCACGCCGUAAACGAUGAGUGCUAAGUGUUGGGCGGGUUUCCCGCCCCUCAGUGCUGCAGCUAACGCAUUAAGCACUCCGCCUGGGGGGUACGGUCGCAAGCUG
rnacentral:rRNA from 1 species